UACGUAGGUGGCAAGCGUUGUCCGGAAUUAUUGGGCGUAAAGCGCGCGCAGGUGGUUCCUUAAGUCUGAUGUGAAAGCCCACGGCUCAACCGUGGAGGGUCAUUGGAAACUGGGGAACUUGAGUGCAGAAGAGGAAAGUGGAAUUCCAAGUGUAGCGGUGAAAUGCGUAGAGAUUUGGAGGAACACCAGUGGCGAAGGCGACUACCUGGCCUGUUCUUGACGCUGAGGCGCGAAAGCUAGGGGAGCAAACGGGG
rnacentral:rRNA from 1 species